rnacentral:lncRNA from 1 species
AGGUCCAGAAUGAAUCAGCUGGGAGGAAGAAUAGAACAGUAGUGAAUGGGAGUAGAAGGAGGAAGAUGACCUAAGGGACCCGUAUGUGAGGCUGUAAUGGGGAUGAGAAACAUGGAAUUAACUGUUCUCCGGAUGUGAAAUGAGACUUCCAGUUCUUCGAGCAUUUUAACUGUCUCUGCACAGCUUCCUGGGAGAUUUCAUUCCUCCCAUCGUGGAAACUGUGUGGGCAGGAAGUGAGGAGGCAACAAGGGCUGUGGGUUAAUGCUUGGGAUGAAAGGAAAAAGAACACCUUUACAAUGGAGAGACCCCGGAGUUCCCAUCUUGACCAUGUGAUGAAAAGUAGUCUCACUACGAGUGGACCACAUGACAUCGUAUCCCUCCUGAUGAAGCA